rnacentral:rRNA from 1 species
GACGAACGCUGGCGGCGUGCUUAACACAUGCAAGUCGAACGAAGUGGCGAACGGGUGAGUAACGCUUAAUCAACCUGCACUUCAGAGGGGGACAACAGUUGGAAACGACUGCUAAUACUGCAAACUGAAGGCGGGGAUUGCGUUUGAUGAGCUGGUUGGAGGGGUAACGGCCCACCAAGGCGAAGAUACGUAGCCGGACUGAGAGGAUGAACGGCCACAUUGGGACUGAGACACGGCCCAGACUCCUACGGGAGGCAGCAGUAGGGAAGCUGCCGCAAUGGACGAAAGUCUGACGGAGCAACGCCGCGUGAGUGAUGACGGCCUUCGGGUUGUAAAGCUCUGUUAAUCGGGACGCGGUACCGGAAUAGAAAGCCACGGCUAACUACGUGCCAGCAGCCGUGGUAAUAC